AGAGUUUGAUCAUGGCUCAGAUUGAACGCUGGCGGAAUGCUUUACACAUGCAAGUCGAGCGGCAGGNNGGGAACCUGGCGGCGAGGGCGAACGGGUGAGUAACAUAUCGGAACGUAUCCAUAAGUGGGGGACAACCUAGCGAAAGUUAGGCUAAUACCGCAUACGCUCGAGAGAGGAAAGUGGGGGGAUCGCAAGACCUCACGCUUUAGGAGCGGCCGAUAUCAGAUUAGCUAGAUGGUGAGGUAAAGGCUUACCAUGGCGACGAUCGGUAGCCGGCCUGAGAGGGUGAUCGGCCACACUGGAACUGAGACACGGUCCAGACUCCUACGGGAGGCAGCAGUGGGGAAUUUUGCGCAAUGGGCUAACGCCUGACGCAGCAACGCCGCGUGGAGGAUGAAGGUCCUUGGAUCGUAAACUCCUGUCAGCAGGGAAAAAGCAAUAGGCGCUCAUACCGUCUAAAGUUGAUUGUACCUGCAGAGGAAGCCCCGGCUAACUCUGUGCCAGCAGCCGCGGUAAUACAGAGGGGGCAAGCGUUAUUCGGAAUUAUUGGGCGUAAAGGGCGCGUAGGCGGCUUUUCAAGUGACGGGUGAAAUCCCUCGGCUUAACCGAGGAACUGCCUGUCAGACUGGAAGGCUUGAGACCGGGAGAGGUGAGUGGAAUUCCCAGUAGCGGUGAAAUGCGUAGAUAUUGGGAGGAACACCAGUGGCGAAGGCGGCUCACUGGACCGGUACUGNNGCUGANNNNCGAAAGCGUGGGGAGCAAACAGGAUUAGAUACCCUAGUAGUCC
rnacentral:rRNA from 1 species